rnacentral:rRNA from 1 species
AGAUUUAUCGCCGAAAGAUUGGCCCGCGUCUGAUUAGCUAGUUGGUAGGGUAAUGGCCUACCAAGGCGACGAUCAGUAGCUGGUCUGAGAGGAUGAUCAGCCACAUUGGGACUGAGACACGGCCCAAACUCCUACGGGAGGCAGCAGUGGGGAAUAUUGGACAAUGGGGGCAACCCUGAUCCAGCCAUGCCGCGUGAGUGAUGAAGGCCCUAGGGUUGUAAAGCUCUUUUGUGCGGGAAGAUAAUGACGGUACCGCAAGAAUAAGCCCCGGCUAACUUCGUGCCAGCAGCCGCGGUAAUACGAAGGGGGCUAGCGUUGCUCGGAAUCACUGGGCGUAAAGGGUGCGUAGGCGGGUCUUUAAGUCAGGGGUGAAAUCCUGGAGCUCAACUCCAGAACUGCCUUUGAUACUGAAGAUCUUGAGUUCGGGAGAGGUGAGUGGAACUGCGAGUGUAGAGGUGAAAUUCGUAGAUAUUCGCAAGAACACCAGUGGCGAAGGCGGCUC